AUUGAACGCUGGCGGCAUGCUUUACACAUGCAAGUCGAACGGUAACAGGCCGCAAGGUGCUGACGAGUGGCGAACGGGUGAGCAAUGCAUCGGAACGUGCCCAGUCGUGGGGGAUAACUACUCGAAAGAGUAGCUAAUACCGCAUACGAUCUAUGGAUGAAAGCGGGGGACCGUAAGGCCUCGCGCGAUUGGAGCGGCCGAUGUCAGAUUAGGUAGUUGGUGGGGUAAAGGCUCACCAAGCCAACGAUCUGUAGCUGGUCUGAGAGGACAACCAGCCACACUGGGACUGAGACACGGCCCAGACUCCUACGGGAGGCAGCAGUGGGGAAUUUUGGACAAUGGGCGCAAGCCUGAUCCAGCAAUGCCGCGUGCAGGAAGAAGGCCUUCGGGUUGUAAACUGCUUUUGUACGGAACGAAACGGCUCUGGUUAAUACCCGGGGCUAAUGACGGUACCGUAAGAAUAAGCACCGGCUAACUACGUG
rnacentral:rRNA from 1 species